rnacentral:rRNA from 1 species
UCGGGAACUUUGGGCAAUGGGCGAAAGCCUGACCCAGCAACGCCGCGUGAGGGAUGAAGUAUUUCGGUAUGUAAACCUCGAAAGAAUGGGAAGAAUAAAUGACGGUACCAUUUAUAAGCUCCGGCUAGCUACGUGCCAGCAGCCGCGGUAAUACGUAGGGAGCAAGCGUUGUUCGGAUUUACUGGGCGUAAAGGGCGCGUAGGCGGCGCGGUAAGUCACUUGUGAAAUCUCUGAGCUUAACUCAGAACGGCCAAGUGAUACUGCAGUGCUAGAGUGCAGAAAGGGCGAUCGGAAUUCUUGGUGUAGCGGUGAAAUGCGUAGAUAUCAAGAGGAACACCUGAGGCGAAGGCGGGUUGCUAGGCUGACACUGACGCUGAGGCGCGAAAGACAGGGGAGCAAACG